UACGGGGGGGGCAAGCGUUGUUCGGAAUUACUGGGCGUAAAGGGCGCGUAGGCGGCCUUCUAAGUCGGACGUGAAAUCCCUCGGCUUAACCGAGGAACUGCGUCCGAUACUGAAAGGCUUGAAUCCGGGAGAGGGAUGCGGAAUUCCAGGUGUAGCGGUGAAAUGCGUAGAUAUCAGGAAGAACACCCGUGGCGAAGGCGGCUCUCUGGGACGGUACUGACGCUGAGACGCGAAAGCGUGGGGAGCGAACAGG
rnacentral:rRNA from 1 species